AUCAUCCUCUCGUUUAUAUAAUGC
rnacentral:siRNA from 1 species